rnacentral:rRNA from 1 species
CCUACGGGUGGCAGCAGUGGGGAAUAUUGCACAAUGGGGGAAACCCUGAUGCAGCGACGCCGCGUGAGUGAAGAAGUAUUUCGGUAUGUAAAGCUCUAUCAGCAGGGAAGAAAAUGACGGUACCUGAUUAAGGAGCCCCGGCUAACUACGUGCCAGCAGCCGCGGUACUACGUAGGGAGCAAGCGUUAUCCGGAUUUACUGGGUGUAAAGGGGGCGUAGACGGCAGCGCAAGUGUGAAGUGAAAUGCCUGGGGUUAACCCCGGAACUGCUUUGGAAACUGUGCAGCUAGAGUGCAGGAGAGGUACGUGGAAUUCGCAGUGUAGCGGUGAAAUGCGUAGAUAUUAGGAGGAACACCAGUGGCGAAGGCGGCUUACUGGAUUGUAACUGACGCUGAGGCUCGAAAGCGUGGGUAGCAAACAGGAUUAGAUACCCUAGUAGUC